rnacentral:rRNA from 1 species
UACGUAGGGGGCAAGCGUUGUCCGGAUUUAUUGGGCGUAAAGAGCGUGUAGGCGGCUUUACAGGUCCGUUGUGAAAACUCGAGGCUCAACCUCGAGACGCCGGUGGAAACCGUAAGGCUAGAGUCCGGAAGAGGAGAGUGGAAUUCCUGGUGUAGCGGUGAAAUGCGCAGAUAUCAGGAAGAACACCCGUGGCGAAGGCGGCUCUCUGGGACGGUACUGACGCUGAGACACGAAAGCGUGGGGAGCGAACAGG